rnacentral:rRNA from 1 species
UACGAAGGGGGCUAGCGUUGCUCGGAAUCACUGGGCGUAAAGGGUGCGUAGGCGGGUCUUUAAGUCAGGGGUGAAAUCCUGGAGCUCAACUCCAGAACUGCCUUUGAUACUGAAGAUCUUGAGUUCGGGAGAGGUGAGUGGAACUGCGAGUGUAGAGGUGAAAUUCGUAGAUAUUCGCAAGAACACCAGUGGCGAAGGCGGCUCACUGGCCCGAUACUGACGCUGAGGCCACGAAGCGUG